rnacentral:rRNA from 1 species
UACGGGGGGGGCAAGCGUUGUUCGGAAUUACUGGGCGUAAAGGGCUCGUAGGUGGCCAACUAAGUCAUACGUGAAAUCCCUCGGCUUAACCGGGGAACUGCGUCUGAUACUGUUUGUCUUGAGGACGAGAGGGGAGAGUGGAACUUCUGGUGGAGCGGUGAAAUGCGUAGAUAUCAGAAGGAACGCCGGUGGCGAAAGCGACUCUCUGGCUCGUAUCUGACGCUGAAACGCGAAAGCUUGGGUAGCAAACGGG